GGCGUAGUUGGUACUGUUAGCGAGCCUGCGGCGCGCAGCCCCCUCUCUGCCGCCGCCCCGGGCAGUCGCGACCCAGCGGGGUGAGUCGUAAUUGGCUUCUGUGGCUUAGGCGAAAGCAGACUGUAUCGCGUGUUCAGUGACAAAUGAACCAAAGCAAGAGGUUAUCAUCUCCACAUUGACCUUGCAUCCAAACCCGUGGCUACCAAAUUAAGCUUGCUGGACAAGGAGGAUAACCAGAACUUACUGGGACAGUUUGCUCUGUUUUACUUCUGUUUGCAUCAUGCCUCACUUACAUCAUUUACUCUCACAGGCAUUAAAUUCAGAAAAAAAAUUAUUUUAAAUUCCAUUUCAAUGCAUCAUGAAUAAUUUUCCCUUAAGAAAUGACAGCUUAGAAUCACAUGAAAUUGCUUCCAAAAAGAAGCAAGAUACCUUGCCAGGUAUUAACUAAUUUAGAAUCUCUUAAAUCCUUCAGAAGAAACACAGAAAUCUCAGAUGCUCAGCUCAGCAUCAUGUCCAGAAAUUGGUAUGAAUGCGAGAAGACCAAAGAGGGUACUUGGUAGCUCUCAUCUCACACAGCACAAAGGGAAGGACUUCUUCCUUUCUUUGCUUCACAUGUUGUCUCCAGCAUUCACUGUGUAUCAAAACCACCUACAAACUCCUACAAAAAGGAAUAUUCAUAAUCUUACACUCCAUAAAAUUCAGCAACAGCCUUAGGGUUUUUUCUAGAGGUUUCUGAUGCAGUCAACAUCAGCAGGCUUGUACUGUGAUUAUAUAGUUUGAUUUUCUCUUUUUUAAGUACUAUCCUUCUGCAAGUAUCCCAAAUGUUUUCAAUCUUAUCCAAUUUCUCAUCAGCAAAAUCCUAUGCAGCAUUCUUUUAUGGUUAUGACUGUUUUUCAAGUGUGGUCUCCAGUGUAGCUGAUGAUUCUUGUAGGACAUUUCAGUACUGAAGGCACCAGGUACCUAUAGGCCUUUCAAGAUUUCAACUUCUCUCCUCAUAUCCUCUAUUUCCAUUAAGAAAAAAGGAUGCAUAAAUAAGAAAAAUAUUUUCCCCUAUAGUAUUUUCUCCUGUUGAUGCAUACAGAAAAGAAUCAAAAAUUCUGAUUUCAUAUUUGGCUCCUUACCUAUUGUCAUUCCAGUUCAGUUGUUAAAAGCUUUUUUACUACAGCACAUUCUGGCUCUUUUUGAUAAUUGCAAUUUGUGUAUUGACUUCAGC